AAAAUAAGUGCUAUCCCAAAUAGCCGACAUCUAUUUUGCUUUCCGAGUAGUGCCUCUUUUGAGGCACUUUUUUUUAUUCU
rnacentral:ncRNA from 1 species